rnacentral:rRNA from 1 species
CCAAUAGCGUAUAUUAAAGUUGCUGCAGUUAAAAAGCUCGUAGUUGAAUUUCGGGACUAAUAUGUCGGUCGUGCCUCGGUACGUACUGGUAUUUUUGGUUUCUCCCUUCUGACGAACCUUGAUGUCAUUAAUUUGGUGUAUUGGGGAAUCAGGACUGUUACUUUGAAAAACUUAGAGUGUUUAACGCAGGCUACCGCUUGAGUACAUAAGCAUGGAAUAAUGAAAUAGGGCGUUUGAUUCUAUUUUGUUGGUUUCUAGGAUCGACGUAAUGAUUAAUAGGGAUAGUUGGGGGCAUUAGUAUUCAAUUGUCAGAGGUGAAGUUCUUGGAUUUAUUGAAGACUAACUACUGCGAAAGCAUUUGCCAAGGAUGUUUUCAUUAAUCAAGAACGAAAGUUAGGGGAUCGAAGACGAUCAGAUACCGUCGUAGUCUUAACCAUAAACUAUGCCGACUAGGGCUCGGAUGAUGUUAAUUUUUUAAUGACUCAUUCGGCGCCUUACG